rnacentral:rRNA from 1 species
GGGUUAGUAGGUUGGUCAUGCCUCUGGUAUGUACUGGUCUCACUGAUUCCUCCUUCCUGAUGAACCGUAAUGCCAUUAAUUUGGUGUUGCGGGGAAUUUGGACUGUUACUUUGAAAAAAUUAGAGUGUUUAAAGCAAGCUAACGCUUGAAUACAUUAGCAUGGAAUAAUGAAAUAGGACG